rnacentral:rRNA from 1 species
ACGGGUGAGUAACACGUGAGUAAUCCACCCUUGGUACCGGGAUAGCCCGAGGAAACUCGGAUUAAUACCGGAUAGCCCAACAGCCUUUCGGGGCGGUUGGAAAAGGUAGCUUCGGCCUCCGACCAAGGACGAGCUCGCGGCGGAUUAGCUUGUUGGCGGGGUAAUGGCCCACCAAGGCGACAAUCCGUAGCUGGUCUGAGAGGACGAUCAGCCACACUGGGACUGAGACACGGCCCAGACUCCUACGGGAGGCAGCAGUGGGGAAUCUUGCGCAAUGGGCGAAAGCCUGACGCAGCGACGCCGCGUGCGGGAAGAAGGCCUUCGGGUUGUAAACCGCUUUCAGGAGGGACGAAGCCACUCGGGUUAAUAGCCCAGAGGGUGACGGUACCUCCAGAAGAAGCCCCGGCUAACUACGUGCCAGCAGCCGCGGUAAUACGUAGGGGGCAAGCGUUGUCCGGAUUUAUUGGGCGUAAAGAGCGUGUAGGCGGCCAAAUAGGUCGGUUGUGAAAACUGGAGGCUUAACCUCCAGACGUCGACCGAGACCAUCUGGCUAGAGUCCGGAAGAGGAGAGUGGAAUUCCUGGUG